rnacentral:rRNA from 15 species
AGGACAUUGUUUGGUGGGUAGUUUGACUGGGGUGGUCGCCUCCAAAAGAGUAACGGAGGCUUCCAAAGGUCCCCUCAGCACGCUUGGCAACCGUGCGUGGAGUGCAAUGGCACAAGGGGGCUUGACUGAGAGGCAUACAGGCCGACCAGGUACGAAAGUAGGGCAUAGUGAUCCGGUGGUUCCGCAUGGAAGGGCCAUCGCUCAAAGGAUAAAAGGUACUCCGGG